UACGGAGGAUCCAAGCGUUAUCCGGAUUCAUUGGGUUUAAAGGGUGCGUAGGCGGACUGAUAAGUCAGCGGUGAAAUCUCUCGGCUUAACCGAGAAACUGCCGUUGAUACUGUCAGUCUUGAGUACAGAUGAUGUGGGCGGAAUAUGACAUGUAGUGGUGAAAUACUUAGAUAUGUCAUAGAACACCGAUUGCGAAGGCAGCUCACAAAAACUGUCACUGACGCUGAGGCACGAAAGCGUGGGGGAUCAAAACAGG
rnacentral:rRNA from 1 species